rnacentral:tRNA from 1 species
GCCUGGCUAGCUCAAUCAGUAGAGUAUGUGACUCUUGAUCCAGGAGUUGUGGGUUUGAGCCCCAUGUUGGGUG